CCUACGGGGGGCAGCAGUGGGGAAUAUUGGACAAUGGGCGAAAGCCUGAUCCAGCCAUGCCGCGUGUGUGAAGAAGGCCUUCGGGUUGUAAAGCACUUUCAGUGGGGAAGAAAGCCUUGGGGCUAAUACCCUCGAGGAAGGACAUCACCCACAGAAGAAGCACCGGCUAACUCCGUGCCAGCAGCCGCGGUAAUACGGUGGGUGCGAGCGUUAAUCGGAAUUACUGGGCGUAAAGCGCGCGUAGGCGGUCUGAUAAGCCGGUUGUGAAAGCCCCGGGCUCAACCUGGGAACGGCAUCCGGAACUGUCAGGCUAGAGUGCAGGAGAGGAAGGUAGAAUUCCCGGUGUAGCGGUGAAAUGCGUAGAGAUCGGGAGGAAUACCAGUGGCGAAGGCGGCCUUCUGGACUGACACUGACGCUGAGGUGCGAAAGCGUGGGUAGCAGACAGGAUUAGAUACCCUAGUAGUC
rnacentral:rRNA from 1 species